GCCAUCCUUGGGAUACCACCCUUGUAGUACUGGGACUCUAACCAUAGGCCAUGAAUCUGGUCUUGGGACACUGUCAGGUGGGCAGUUUGACUGGGGCGGUCGCCUCCCAAAAGGUAACGGAGGCGCUCAAAGGUUCUCUCAGUACGGGCGGAAAUCGUACGUAGAGUGUAAAGGCAAAAGAGAGCUUGAUUGCAAGACAUACAGGUCGAGCAAGGAU
rnacentral:rRNA from 1 species